UGUUCCUAAUUAGAUAGUAAAAUAACCAGGUGAAGGGUACAAUGAAAUUCCCUUGAACAUAAUCUGCUUGUUUUAAUAGAACUGCCAUAUGAAAGAUGAUUAGUAUUUGGUUCUGCAGUUUUCAAAUGGUCUUUAGUAAGUGGCGUCGGAGCCAUUUGCAUGAGCUAGCAAUACAGUAACGCCACCAAAAUGCUAUCCUUGACAAGAAAGUGUGCUGGUAUUGCAAACACUGUGAAGAUGUGCAAAAGUUCACCUCUGCAAGUUAAUAUGUCAACUUACAUUAUAAAGAAGAAACUAUUUUAUAACCAGCAUUAGAAACUGAACAGUUGGAUAAGAGGCUGCACAGAGAGUAUAUCCAAGAUAAUGUGCGUCAGAAACCAUAUUGUUACAUUGAUCACAUCUCCCUGUUAUCGAGUUCCUCUUUCCUGGACUCUUAUGUGAACCUACAAUUGAUGCUGUGAUAUGGAAUGUGUGGCUCUUCACAUAUUGCUGGAUGGGCCUGGAGUUCGUGUUACCUAAGAAUCUUCGACUUGGACUGACUUCUCAUGAGUGUGGCUUUCUCCCUCCCUGGAUUGUGGACUGACUUGAUGACGACUUUGUUUGACGGACUUGGAAACGAUGUAUCCUUUGGCUUUCUUUGGCGACACUGGCUUUGACAACUCCUUCUUGCAGUUAACUCUUUGGGGGCAGCGCUAUCUGUUGGAACUCUUGUGUACAAUGCUGCUUGUUUGCUGGUUACUUUGACUGCUUUUUAAUCUGGUUUUUCCUUCUGUUUAACCCGGAUUAUUUUCCGUUUGCCUUUUGGAGCCCAGUUUGGGUAAAUUCUUUGAGUUUUGGCCAGAGACACUGAAGUUAAGUGUCUCUGAGCUUUUAUUUGUUUUUUGCAAUAAACCUUUUGUUGGACUAAA